CGGGUAGCGGAACACGUACGCAACCUUCCUUUAACUGGAGAAUAGCCCCUCGAAAGAGGGAUUAAUACUCCGUAAUAUCCCGAUUUGGCAUCAUAACGGGAUUAUAGCUCCGGCGGUUAGAGAUGGGCGUGCGCCUGAUUAGGUAGUUGGCGGGGUAAUGGCCCACCAAGCCUGCGAUCAGUAACUGGUGUGAGAGCACGACCAGUCACACGGGCACUGAGACACGGGCCCG
rnacentral:rRNA from 1 species